GUGGGGAAUAUUGGACAAUGGGCGCAAGCCUGAUCCAGCCAUGCCGCGUGUGUGAAGAAGGCCUUAUGGUUGUAAAGCACUUUAAGCGAGGAGGAGGCUACUUUAGAUAAUACCUAGAGAUAGUGGACGUUACUCGCAGAAUAAGCACCGGCUAACUCUGUGCCAGCAGCCGCGGUAAUACAGAGGGUGCAAGCGUUAAUCGGAUUUACUGGGCGUAAAGCGCGCGUAGGCGGCUAAUUAAGUCAAAUGUGAAAUCCCCGAGCUUAACUUGGGAAUUGCAUUCGAUACUGGUUAGCUAGAGUGUGGGAGAGGAUGGUAGAAUUCCAGGUGUAGCGGUGAAAUGCGUAGAGAUCUGGAGGAAUACCGAUGGCGAAGGCAGCCAUCUGGCCUAACACUGACGCUGAGGUGCGAAAGCAUGGGGAGCAAACAGGAUUAGAAACCCCAGUAGUCC
rnacentral:rRNA from 1 species